UACAGAGGUCUCAAGCGUUGUUCGGAUUCAUUGGGCGUAAAGGGUGUGUAGGUGGCGCGCUAAGUCGGGUGUGAAAUUUCGGAGCUUAACUCCGAAACUGCAUUUGAUACUGGCGUGCUUGAGGACUGGAGAGGAGACUGGAAUUCACGGUGUAGCAGUGAAAUGCGUAGAUAUCGUGAGGAAGACCAGUGGCGAAGGCGGGUCUGCUGGACAGUUCCUGACACUGAGGCACGAAGGCCAGGGGAGCAAACGGG
rnacentral:rRNA from 1 species